rnacentral:rRNA from 1 species
ACUCAAAUGAAUUGACGGGGGCCCGCACAAGCGGUGGAGUAUGUGGUUUAAUUCGAUGCAACGCGAAGAACCUUACCAGGGCUUGACAUCCCGGGAACCUCUUGGAAACAGGGGGGUGCCCGCAAGGGAGCCCGGAGACAGGUGGUGCAUGGCUGUCGUCAGCUCGUGUCGUGAGAUGUUGGAUUAAGUUCCGCAACGAGCGCAACCCUCGUGGUAUGUUGCCAGCAGUUCGGCUGGGCACUCAUACCAGACUGCCGCAGCAAUGUGGAGGAAGGUGGGGAUGACGUCAAGUCAGCAUGCCCCGUACGCCCUGGGCUACACACAUACUACAAUGCAGAGUGCAGACGGAUGCCAAGCCGUGAGGUGGAGCUAAUCCGCGAAGGCUCUGCUCAGUGCAGAUUGCAGGCUGCAACUCGCCUGCAUGAAGGCGGAAUCGCUAGUAACCGUCGGUCAGCAUUACGACGGUGAAUACGUUCCCGGGCCUUGUACACACCGCCCGU